rnacentral:lncRNA from 1 species
CUCCUGGGUACACCAGCCAGCCCACGGCACAGAGCCUGCCUGUUGGUCUCUACCCACAGGGGAUCCCCUGCUGCUCCAGCAUCAGAUUUGGGACACACCCCCCCCACCCCGCCCCACCAGAGGGCAUCAGCUAUGCCUAGCAGUUACGUCCCCGUGGCUAAAUUAAACUCCCAUUGGCUAAAUUAGGCCCGAAGAGAGGGGCACCUGCUGCUAAGCUGUGUAUGUUGUCCCCUAGGACUCCCACCGUUUGCUGAGCUCCACAUGACAACAGCAGACGACAGGCCGCACUGAUCCCACCUGGCUUACAGGUGCUGUCACACAGGUACGCCUUCUUGUGGAUCUUCAGUCACCAUUUGCCCCUCGCAACAACCCUGUCUUGGAGGAAGGUCCUUGCCGACACCCGCCUCUCCCCACCCUUAGGCUCCCUUGCUCCUUCAUUCAACCAUUGUUUACAUGUCGUUCAGGACUGCUGACUAAACACUUUCAAGCACAGCGGACCCUUGAACAACGCAGGUUCAAACUGUGCAGGUCCACCCACAGGGAUGUUUUUCAAUCAGAGUUACACCAAGUGUCCCUGCCUCUCCUGCCUCCCUUCCCACUUCCUCCAUG